UAAAGAGAAGAAUAUUUAUAUUGUGUCUGCAGGAGAACAGGAAAGAUGCCUCAAGUUGCACCGGCGUGGAUUAUUGUACUUUAAAAGGGGCGUGAACAAGCCUAACCAUCACAAAAGAAGAAAGUCUGCUUCCUGACUGAACCUGUCUGCCAGAUCAGCGACCAAGGAGUUCGCUUGUAUGAAAGUCCUGCUUGAUCGCCAGUGUCUAGUGCCUCAACCCUACGGCCUCAGUCGACAUUGGGUGGUAAUGGAACUGAUCAAAGGCACUCUUCUUCAUCGCGUGCAAGAACUGAACAACGUGAAAGCUCUUUACCACAAACUGAUGAACAAUAUAAUGAGAUUUGCUUUGUACGGGGUGGUUCACGCCGACUUCAAUGAGUUCAACAUUUUUAUCACUCACGACGAGAGGCCAGUCAUCAUAGAUUUUUCACACAUGCUUUUUACUCACCAUGCAAAUGCUAAAAUGCACUUUGAAAGGGAUGUGAAUGGUGUGAUCAACU
rnacentral:lncRNA from 1 species